ensembl:snoRNA
AGCCUUUUGUAGUCUGUAAGCAUGACGAUUGGGUUUUCAGCCUCGUGUGAGGUGUGCCUCCCUCAAACCUUGUUACACAGGCACAUUACCUCUCUGGCA